rnacentral:rRNA from 1 species
AGGGUUUGAUUAUGGCUCAGAACGAACGCUGGCGGUACGCUUAACACAUGCAAGUCGAACGGCAUCAGGCCCGCAAGGGUGCUGGCGAGUGGCGAACGGGUGAGUAACACGUGGAUGACCUACCUUGAGGUGGGGGACAACAGCUAGAAAUGGCUGCUAAUACCGCAUAUCUCCUAAGGGAUAAAGGCGCAAGUCGCCUUAAGAUGGGUCCGCGUUGGAUUAGCUAGUUGGUGAGGUAAUGGCCCACCAAGGCGACGAUCCAUAGCUGGUCUGAGAGGAUGAUCAGCCACACUGGAACUGAGACACGGUCCAGACUCCUACGGGAGGCAGCAGUGGGGAAUAUUGCGCAAUGGGGGAAACCCUGACGCAGCGAUACCGCGUGGGUGAAGAAGGUCUUAGGAUUGUAAAGCCCUUUCAGUGGGAACGAUUGUGACGGUACCCACAGAAGAAGCACCGGCCAACUCCGUGCCAGCAGCCGCGGUAAUACGGAGGGUGCAAGCGUUGUUCGGAAUUACUGGGCGUAAAGGGCACGUAGGCGGUCAGAUAAGUCAGGAGUGAAAUGCAAAGGCUCAACCUUUGGACUGCUCUUGAAACUGUUUGACUUGA